AUGGGUAGGAGUGGGCGAGGAAUCUUUUUCUUUAUUUUCUCUCUUUUCUUUUCUUUCUUUUUUUCUUUUAUUUUCCUUUUCAUUUCCUGUCCUUUCCUGUCCUUUUUGUCUUUCUUUUUUAAGCAUGGACAGCCUGGUCCGAGUGUGCAAAGCUGUGGCUUCCCCUCCUGUGGAUGCCUUCUGAACAGCAGAUCUGACUUCCUCCUCAAACCAAGGCAUCCUGAAAACAUCCAAGCAGAGGAAGCAUUUUUUCACCAUGACAUGGGAAAGGGCCAUAGAGAUCCAAAUGGAAACGGACAUUUCAUACACCCUUGGAAACGCGAUGCUACAUCUCAAUGGGAUUUUCCAGUACAAAGAUUCUUUUCAAAUAAUAUAAUUGUGGAUACACACCACUCCUACAGAGAGUGUGUUUCACAAUGACAGAAGACGGGAUGAUAAAGUUAG
rnacentral:lncRNA from 12 species